UGAAACUGCCUCAAAAUAAAAAGUGAGUGGUUUUUAUUUUUUUUGUUUGGCAUUUAUUUUCUAUAACUGCUGCAGCACCUUGUCUCGAGUCAUCCAAUAACAAGUUAUCUGCAAGUUUUUUGCAGCAAUCAUUUGCAUAUCUCUUGACAUAGAUAUACUGAAAAAUAGUUAUUUAAAAUUUUAGCCUUUUCCUGGUCUUCAUUAACAAACAGACCCAUCUCUGUUUCCAAUUUCCACUUUCAUUUUUUGUUUUGGGGUUGGUUUUGGAUUCUUUGGCUUUUCAAUUUCUCAUUUUCUAGUUUAGUCACUUUAGUUGCCUUUUUGCAAGCAUUAUUGGCUUGCUUAUAUAGGAAGCCUCUGAUUUGUCUGCUUUAAAUGCCCCUUUUCUUAUUUUUAAUCUCUUGUUUUACUUCUCUAGUGAUCCACAUUGGUUUUAAUUUGUUUCUUUUAUAUUUAUUACCCAAUGGUACAUUCUGAGAAAUGUACCUUUCUAAUAUUUGUUUGAAGAGUUUCCAUUUAUCCUCAGUUGAUAUGUUGUAGAGCUGCCCUAUUUAAAGUGGCUUUUUAAAAAUUAAAUGUUUUAGUAUACGCCGCAUGCUUUUACUCUUUUGAGUUUAUUUAAAAAAUUACCAUAUUGUGAUCAUCAUUUCACAAAUGCUCCCUGUGGCGAAACCGACCUCGCCACUAGGCAUUGGAGAAGACUGUUUGCCAGCCUCCUGCCAUGUGACUAUGGCCCCUGGGAUGUAUUGCCCUUUAAAGACAUGAUUUGGGCAUAAUGGAUUUGUGUUGUGCUGCUGCUAGCCCUUUAAGAACCAUCUGGGGACAUACUGUGGAGUUACUGGGUGUCCACCAUUUCAUGUAUCAGAGGCACAUGGUGAGAACAAUGGAUGGCGGCCAUUUUAACUCACAGACACUGUUUGGACUUUUCUACACGGUGCCAUCUCGCCGGUAUUUGGUGCACAAAGACAUCAUGCAGUAGUUUUAAACUAUACAACAGGGGACACAUUAUACAGUAAUUAUUUUUCAUAUAGCCUGUAUAUGUUCUGCAGAAUCUGCAUUAAACUGUAUUUUCCAAAGUACUGAACGAAUCUGGGUGAAUUUUGGAUAUGUGGUUCACCCAGAUCCCCCGGUUCCGAGGAUAUACUGGGGUUAUUGCAUGUUUUGGGCUCCCUGUGAUAUAUUUUAUACUGUAUUUCUCUGCCUGUGAUAAUUAAUAUAUUAACCAUUCAGUGUUCAGUAAUCAUAUCACAGGCAGAGGGGGAGGAUUUUGUGUGGGAGUGUCUGUGUGUAUUGUACGGAUUGAUUAGUUGUAUUUCAAAACCCUGUGGGCAGUACUAUGUUUGUGGAUUGUGAAUAAAAGAGGCUGUAUGUGACAGUACAGUCAGUUCUGCUUGACCUCAAAACGAAGUGUUGUCUCGUUAUUGGGGGAAUUGGAUUGUAUGCUGAUUGCCAGGAGCUGUUUACAGCAUUCAUAUGCUUCUCUGGUUCGGUGAUUGUGGUGUCUGCUGCAGUGCUUGGAGUCCUCAGGAAGCGCUAGGAGCAUCCUUCAACGAAGGUACCCAGUCGGGGUGCCCGUCGAUCCGUUACACUCCCCUACUUGAAUGUCGGUCAAAAAAACUAUUUCUUCCUUAAUAACAUGUACCCAUUUAAGGUAACUGCCCAGUCAUGUCUCAUCCCACCAUGUUUCUGUUAUGCCUAUUAUAUUGUUUAGUGUAUGCUAUUGCCUCUAGUUCCCCCCAUUUUGUUAUAUAGGCUCCUUGCAUUAGUAAGCAUACAUUUGAUAUUAUCAUGAGUCAUUUGUACUUUUUGUGAAGUUUUAUCAAUAUUACAUACCUCCUCUGUUCUAAGCUUGCCCCUCCCCCAUCUCCUCUCCCCUUAUAUUGAGCUAAAGCCCAUCUCCUUUCUAUCCUAUCCCCCUUGUCUAGAUUUCUAUCUCUCCCUUGGCAAAAGUAACCUCGCCACUUGUACUUGAAGGGGCCUGCUUGCCAGCCUCCUGCCCACAGACUAUGGACCCUGCAGGGAAACCUGUAAAAGGCUAACUAACUUGACCGACUGUUAGCACUGAUUUUCCUGGAACUGUUUUGGGCAUAGGACCAUGUGCACGGUCAGUCAAAACUAUGACUUCCAGGAAAUUAAUGAACCCCUGAACCGAUCUGGGUGAUUUUUUAUUUUUUUUUGGAUAUGUUGUUCAUCCAGGUCAGGGGGUGUUAUGGGGUUUUAUGUGUGUUGUUUUUUUUUUUUUGUUUUUUUUUAAGGUACUUUUUUGGGCUUCAUAAAAAUGUAUGUUUUUCUGUGCUUUGAGAUAAUUGGGUUAGAUUAGUACAGUUCCUGAUUCAAUUACCUCCCAAGCACAGAGGAGGUAUUCUAUUGUUUGUGUAUGGGAGUGUCUCACUGUAGGACUCUGUUUUUAUUGGUUUAUUCACAUUGUGUCCCUGUGCCCAACAAGGUCCACCUGGGUGUCACACUUGUUGGGAAACUUGCAUAAAAGGCCAGUGUGCCUCCAUUAAAAUUCUGUUCCGGUUUACCCUCAACAUCGAGUCUCAUCUCAUGUGUGGGGGAAACGGCUGUAUCUAUCCUGCGGUUUGCUAUAUCACUCUACUCCCCAGGAAUUAUAAUCACUAGUUCUUAUAAGAGCUGUUCCUGCUACGCUCUCUGGGAGUAGGCGAGGUCUGCCCACUGGAACCUGGAUCCCAGUCUUGGGUCCAGGGUGGGUGAAGGACGGCGAGACCCCAGCGCAGUUGCAUCACCGGAAGUACUUAUGGUGUCUGGUGGAGUGCUGGAAUUCCUCGGUGAGCACUAGGAGCAUCGAUUGGCGGAGGCACUCGGUCGGAGUGCCAGGCGGUUCAUCACUUUUUUUGGGGCAGCGGUGGGAUGGUCCUUUUUAUAACCAGAGCAAGUGCUGACCGGAUGGAGAGCCAGUAUGCAAAGCUGAAACGACCAACUUUAAAAGACUUGCUGGAGAGCCGGGGAAGCAUUGCAAGUAACCGACCAUGGAGAGAGUUAAUCUGCUGGAGUUAGACAAACUGGACCAUUCAACAGAAAUGGCUGAACUAAAUGCCCCGAACGUAGAGGAAGACGAAACUCUAAACAUCGUUUAGACACGGUUGGCGAUAUAUGGGCCGAACCCGUCAGAUGAAUGGAUCGACCAAAUGUUUUGCACAAUGGAGGCUGAAGCUCAGGAAAGGAGGGAAUACCAACUGCAACUGGUAAGAGCACAACAACCUGCCAUACCAGUGACCAAUAUCCCUACCCCGGCAGCGAACCAGAGAAAGGUCCCAUUUGCAGCUUUCAAAGCCUUUGUAGAGAGUGAUGGAGAAAUUGACAGUUAUCUAGCAGAUUUCGAGAGACCGUGUGCAUUACAUCAGGUACCCACAGAGCAAUGGGUCACAAUCUUAUCAGGCAAGUUGUCUGGGAAAACCUCUGAAGCUUUAAGAGCCAUUCCUAACGAGGAUGUCCACCUGUACCAAUUGGUCAAAGAAGCCCUCCUUGCCCAUUAUACGGUUACCCCCAGAGUCAUAUCGCCGCUGCUUUUGGGAAUUCAAAACGAAAGUGGGGGAACUCACACAUGGAAUGGGCAUGCCGCUUACAUCGCAUUGCUUCCCACAGGAUUAAGGUAUGCCAAGCCAGCACCGGGGAGGAAGUACCCCAAUUGUUUUUGAUGGAACACUUCUUGCUUGAUCUACAACCUGGACUACAAGAGUGGGUACGAGACCGGCGACCCCUCACAUUGAAUGACAUGGCUCGAUUAGCAGAUGAAUAUACGGAUACCAGAAGGGUGAGUCAAACUACCCCAGGGCCCCUGCUCCCGUUCCUCGCCCCAAAUUCUGUGCUCCUGUACCACCUGGCCGAGUGACCACUGAGAUAUCCCCGGGACCAGUGUCAUCGGUGCCGCGGAUGGGGACACAUAAGUACUGGUUGUCCGUCAGGGCCUCUGCUCAAACUUGGAGACGUCCCACACCCGUAGCCAAUACUACACCCCCGCGUACCCCAACCAUUCAUUGUGUGGAAACUGACAUUGGUACCGAGGAAUACCUAGGGAUUUGUAUGAGGUGGACCCCAUCCAAGCUGCGUCCCCAGACAACCGACAACAGCAUCGACAAGAAGUCCAAGUGAAUGGUCAAAUAGCCCAAGGGCUAUGGGACACGUGCGCUACCAUCACCCCGGUCCUGCGACACUUGGUCAAGCAAGAGGAUUGUUCUAACCAUAUCAUCGCUGAACGGGCAGCUGUGUUCCGCCUCCCUGUUGCCCGUGUCCACCUUGACUGGGGAGCCGGAUCCAGCAUGGCCACCGUAGGGAUCAUGGACAAAAUCAGAAAGAUAAGUCCUGCGCUCACUCCCAUAACAUAUGCUCACUACAGACAAGCAAUGACUACAGUACACAUCAGCCCCAAUAUAUAGUAAAAACCAAAGAAAAACAAGUUACCUGCGCUCUCUCCUUAAUCCCUAUGUAUUUUUAAACAAAUGGAGGUUUUUUUAGUUACCUCCAAUGGCCAUGAGAGGAUAAGCCCACCUGCCAACGUCAAGGCAGACCCCAGCUGGGUCCUAACUCUAACCAUUCACCUUGCUUCCUUGAGCUUCUGGCAAAGAUCUCUAAUGAGACAAAAAGGGAUAUAGAUAUAUAUAUAUAUAUAUAUAUAUAUACACACCCUUAAUAGGGAACACAUGGGAUGGGCGGCUGCAUUGUAGCAAGGCUGAGUGAUACAAAAAAUGGAUACAAAUGCAGAAAGAUAAGUCCUGCGCUCACUCCCAUCACUGGGCGGCAGCAAUGACCCAGACCCCCAGCUGCAGCCGGAGCUACAGAGAGAGGAGGCAGGUGGUCCUUAUUCCCAAGUCCUGGGAGGAACCCUUAACUGGCACAUGGAGAUGGGACUGAGGUCUCUCUUCCAGCCCUACAGGGAUGCUGGGCAGCCGGAGUUAAAGGGAGAGGAGACAACCAGUCUCUCUCCCCAGCGGCAGUGCAUCCUACCGGGAAAGGAGACAACAGGUCUCUCUUUCUAGCGGCAUUGCAUUCUACAGGGAGAGGAGACAACCGGUCUCUAUCCCCAGUGGCAGUGCAUCCUAGAGGGAGAGGAGACAACCGGUCUCUCUCUCUAGCGGCAUUGCAUUCUACAGGGAGAGGAGACAACCGGUCUCUAUCCCCAGCGGCAGUGCAUCCUAGAGGGAGAGGAGACAACCGGUCUCUCUCCCAAGUGGCAGUGCAUCCUACAGGGAGAGGAGACAACCGGUCUCUCUCCCAAGCGGCAGUGCAUCCUACAGGGAGAGGAGACAACCAGUCUCUCUCCCAAGCGGCAGUGCAUCCUACAGGGAGAGGAGACAACCGGUCUCUCUCCCCAGCGGCAGUGCAUCUUUCAGGGAGAGGCGACAGCUGGUAUUUCUCCCCAACUACAGGGGGACAACACCCCUGACCCCAAUGGUACAGAUGGGACCGUGGUCUCUGUGCCGGAUCUACAGGGAUGCUGGACAGCCGGUCCAGAUUCUCAACUAAGCACUUUCUCCCCUCUCCAGCCAAUUCCCAGCAGGUCCCUGGGGUUAGUGGACGGGACUACCAUACCCACUGACCCCCUUCCAGCAGAAGAGCUGGCAUCAGAGCAAAGUGCUGCUGGCCCCUGCCCUACCUGCCAACUUGUUACCAGGCAGGGCUCUGUACACAUCACCCCAGCAGAAGUGCUGGCACCAGGGCAGAGCGCAGUUGGCCUCUGCCCUCCCAUUUUCCCUUGUCCAUGGCCUGACUACCUGGUAGUCAGGCCACCCCAGCAGAAGCGCUGGCAACCGGGCAAAGCCUCUGCCCUACCUGCUCCUUUGUUACAGGGCAGAACUAUGUACCUGUCACCCCAGCAGAAGCGCUGGCAUUGGGACAGAGUGCAGUUAGCCUCUGCCUGUGCCCUCCCCUGGUCCUUGAUCCAGGAGCUGCCCACAGAGUAACUAGAAACUGGGAGUACCAGAGGCCCCUUGGGGUCAUACAAAACCAAGACAAACUACAGGAGUCACCAGGUCCAGUAAUUGUUUAUGUGGGUGGGUUACUCAACUAACUCAGGAACCGACCGACAGGAGGUCAGGUACCUGGUUAGUCUCCCCUUUGGAGGGAAGAAAUGUGGGGCCUGCCUCCUGCCCACAGACUAUGGGCCCUGCAGGGAAACCUGUAAAAGACUACUGAACUUGACCGACUGUUAGCACUGAUUUCCCUGGAACUGUUUUGGGCAUAGGACCAUGUGCACGGUCAGUCAAAACUAUGACUUCCAGGAAAUUCCUGAACUGAUCUGGGUGAUUUUUGGAUAUGUUGUUCAUUCAGAUCAGGGCUAUCAGGGGGUGUGUUUUUUUUUUUUUUUUUUUUAAAGGUACUUUUUUGGGUUUCAUAAAAUUGUAUGUUUUUCUGUGCUUGGAGAUAAUUGGGUUAGAUUAGUACAGUUCCUGAUUCAAUUACCUCCCAAGCACAGAGGAGAGAUUCUAUUGUUUGUGUAUGGGAGUAUCUCACUGUAUGACUGUUUUUAUGACCGGGUAAGUACAUAAGAUCACAGGGACGUUCUAUGCCGCCCUGCGGCGUUUAGAGCCGCUUCCUUAAGGACGGCAUAGAACGCCCUGCGGUCUUAAGGGGUUAAAUAAAAUCAGCAGAGAUUAAAAAUAUCUAUAAAAAAGAUGGAAGAAAAAAACGUUUUAAAAAAUUAAGAAUGAAAAAACAAACAAAAACGUAAACCAGCUUUUUCCUGUAUAUACACAUAAGUAGACUGUGCAGUCACUGCUUUAAGUAGACUGUGCAGUCACUGCUUUAAGUAGACUGUGCAGUCACUGCUUUAUUUUUUUUUUCCGUUUGAUUCCACCAGAUAUUUUUGGUGACUGAUAUUGGAGUGUAACAUUAUAUGCCUUAAUUUUUAUCUUUCUUAUUUGUUACCAACACGUUUGGCUAUGUUGUAAAUAGUGUGUAUAUACGUUGUAUGUAUGUUUGCUUGAUAUUGGGAUGCAUAUUGAGCCUUUCUUUUUAUUUUAUUGAUAUGUCCAUCAUUUAGUGAAUAAGCCUCACAAUCGGGUUACACGUAUUGCAAUUUUGCUUCUUUUAUACCCUUUCUUGCCAGCCACGCUGUGGAGUACUUGGACGCGUGUGAUGGAGCAUUGUCCUGCAUGAAAAUCAUGUUUUUCUUGAAGGAUGCAGACUUCUUCCUGUACCACUGCUUGAAGAAGGUGUCUUCCAGGAACUGGCAGUAGGACUGGGAGUUGAGCUUGACUCCAUCCUCAACCCGAAAAGGCCCCACAAGCUCAUCUUUGAUGAUACCAGCCCAAACCAGUACUCCACCUCGCUGGCGUCUGAGUCGGACUGGAGCUCUCUGCCCUUUACCAAUCCAGCCACGGGCCCAUCCAUCUGGCCCAUCAAGACUCACUCUCAUUUCAUCAGUCCAUAAAACCUUAGAAAAAUCAGUCUUGAGAUAUUUCUUGGCCCAGUCUUGACGUUUCAGCUUGUGUGUCUUGUUCAGUGGUGGUCGUCUUUCAGCCUUUCUUACCUUGGCCAUGUCUCUGAGUAUUGCACACCUUGUGCUUUUGGGCACUCCAGUGAUGUUGCAGCUCUGAAAUAUGGCCAAACUGGUGGCAAGUGGCAUCGUGGCAGCUGCACGCUUGACUUUUCUCAGUUCAUGGGCAGUUAUUUUGCGCCUUGGUUUUUCCACACGCUUCUUGCGACCCUGUUGACUAUUUUGAAUGAAACGCUUGAUUGUUCGAUGAUCACGCUUCAGAAGCUUUGCAAUUUUAAGAGUGCUGCAUCCCUCUGCAAGAUAUCUCACUAUUUUUGACUUUUCUGAGCCUGUCAAGUCCUUCUUUUGACCCAUUUUGCCAAAGGAAAGGAAGUUGCCUAAUAAUUAUGCACACCUGAUAUAGGGUGUUGAUGUCAUUAGACCACACCCCUUCUCAUUACAGAGAUGCACAUCACCUAAUAUGCUUAAUUGGUAGUAGGCUUUCGAGCCUAUACAGCUUGGAGUAAGACAACAUGCAUAAAGAGGAUGAUGUGGUCAAAAUACUCAUUUGCCUAAUAAUUCUGCACUCCCUGUACACAUUUUACAGACAAAGUCCCACCCACAGGGUUUUGUGGAACAAUCAAAACAUACAACACAGAUAAACACUCCCACAAUGACAUCACAAUCCCUCUUCUCUAUCCUGGAGAAAAUUGGUAAGUAAUCCAAUUAACUCCAAGGACAGAGGCAAAACUCCAUUAAGCACAUGGCCGCAAAAAGACCGUAAAAUACCAUAAAAUACACAAGGUUACAUUUAUUACAUAAAAUACAGACAUGCAACAUAUCCCCAGAUAGCUUAGGUCUGAGCGCACAUUAUUACUGAAUGGCGAUCAGACCACACACAUACAGUUCAAUUGCCAUAGCUAUCUGGGUUAAAUGAGUUCAUUCAGUAAAUCCGUGAAUGAACGGACCGCGUGUGAACUGCAGACUGCUGCCAUCCAGUGUUCAGUAUGUGUAGCCGCAGCCACCCGGUAUAGUCAAUUGAGCUGCGGUUAACCGCAGCUACUGGGCGGUCAAUUGGCGGCGCUCACUGGCUUUUGGACGGCCAAUUAACGGUGCCUGCCAGCUAACCGCGACUCCUGGGAGGCCAAUAGAUGGCUGUUUGUUCGCUAGAUAGAAUCUACUGAACGCCCGGGCAGAAAUACAUAAAUAGACCUUUUUGCAUAGGAAAAUAAAGUAUUUAAAUGCCGAUCCAUAGUCAAAAGGCAGCAGACAGGCAACCAGGCUCCUCCAAUGCACAGUGGCAAGAUUGGUCUCGUCACACCCCCGUUCUCCAUGAUUGCGAGAGUGAUCUGUCACGUACGUACCCACAAGAUAUCUCUACUUCUCAUAGCUCCACUUUGGCAGAGUCAGGCAUGGUUCCCAGGGUUAUUGAGAUGUCCCACGAUCCUCCUCUUUUUCUACCAACCUUCCCUCUACUUCUGACAGGGACCAUGAGGGGAACCUCACCCCCUCGUACUAGAUCAGAAGCUAGUGUCCUGGACGAUUUUAGGGGUUCCUGGUCAGUCCAUGGCCUAUCACAAUCGGCUAGGGAUCUCCUAUGGGAUUCAUGGGCUCCCGGCAGCAGGAGAUGUUAUAUUUCCGCGUGGUCUGCCUGGAGUAGUUGGUGCCUGGAGAGGGAUUCCGAUCCCUUUUACUGCUCCUGUCCCAUUGAUCCUCAACUAUCUCUCACACCUGUUUACGCUAAGUCUGUCAUACCGAUUCCUCAACGUGUUUAGAUAAGCCAUUUCGGCAGCACACAUUCCGGUACAGGGCAUUCCGGUGGGUCAGGAUCCACUGGUUUGUCGGUUACUACGGGGUGCUAAGGUGUCGAAACCUCCAGCACCGAAAUAUUCACGUCUCUGGCAUGUGGAUGUAGUGCUGCAUUUCCUGAGAGAGUGGCCUAUAACUUGUAUCUUUCGCUGAAACAACUUUCACCCAAACUUACCCUCUUGCUAUGUCUUGUCUUGUUUCGUCACGUAGCAGACAUCAGGGCAUUCAAUGUCGACUGUUUCUCCUUCACUCCAGAAGGGGUUAUUUUUAAGAUAUCACACUGUACUAAGUACUCUUCUUUGGUCUUUUACCCGUUUUUUAUAGCGGACCCCAGACAAUGUGUGGUUAAGACGUUAAUGUGAUAUACCGAAAUCUCAGCUACUCUCCGAACCUCUUCGGCGGGUCAGCUUUUGAUUUCUUACGUGGAGCCUCAUGGACCGGUGUUUACUACAACACUGGCCAGAUGGGUCCGCUGGCUUCUAUCAUUAGCUGGCGUUGGACCAUGCUUUGGGGCUCACGCGGUCAGGAGUGCGGCUGCUUCACAAGUUUUCUUGGGGCAGGAGCCAACUCUUGCCGACAUUAUGCGUUGUGCGGAUUGGACGCGCGAGAGUACUUUCAGGAUGUUUUAUUUCAGGCAGACUUCUUAUGCCUCUUUAACGUUGGUUAAUUCUUAGCGUUAAAAAUGCAAAUAUGGGGGGGCGGAGCUUGAAGCUUGAACCCAGCGGACGCAAAACUCAUGAGCUCCAGAAAUAGGGGCAUACAAACCCGAAAAAAAGCGAUUUAUAGCUGGCACAAAGCUACUCACCACUCUCUUCCUAAAGACACGGGUAAUCAACACAUGCCUUUCUUAUAUACCCCGACCGGCAAAAAAAUCCGCUGUCGAUUGUGGGCCUAUACACUUGACUGGACUGGGUGAGCCGACCCCAAAGACCUGAUGAAUACUUAAACAAUACUGACACGAUGGGCUGAUGAUCCCAAAGGCCACAAACAAGCAUCAAAGAUACCCGAGACAUAGGGGACAUGCUGCAGGCCCCCGUAGCCAAGCGGGCACAGACAAACCCAGAACCAGAAGCAGGCACCACGCGAGCCCAGUGGAGCCAGAGAAAGAACCCGCAACAUCCAGGGCUCCCACGGUGACAUCCCCAGAGGGGGACAGGCAGAAUUUUGCCACGAAGGAAGAUAUCCGCAACAUGAUGCUUGAAUUGAAGCAGACCUACUAUGCACAGAAGUGUAGGCGGUAACAGCCAGACUACAGGCCUCCGAGGAGGACAUCAUCGACACACGACAGGAGGUGCUGGCUCUCAAAGACACAGUGCUUCAGUUGCAAAUCUCCCAUACGGCACUCCUAACUAAACUGGAAGUUGCAGAGGACCACAACCGCAGAACUAACAAACAUCAAGAUCAGGGGGAUCCCGGACGACAUCAGCCAGGCGGAACUCCCCCACUACCUCCGGCGACUGACCACGGCCAUCUUGCCGCACACACAGGCCAAAAAACUACCCUUUGAUACCUGCUUCAGGAUCGCCAAACCUGCAUGGGCACCGUCCAUGGCCACCCGAGACGUAAUUAUGAGAUGUCAUUCAGUCUCUGACAGAAACCGUGUCAUGGCAGAGGUGCGAAACAAAACCCCACUCAACUCAAGUCAGCUACCAUCACGUUCUUCCACGACCUAACGAGGAGUACAUUACAGUGGCGCAGAUCCUUGGGCCCGAUUACAGACCAACUCCGCGCAGCAGGUGUAGACUAUAGAUGGGGCAUACCCAGGACUCUAACAGUGAGUAAAAAUGGGACCGUUCAUCGACUCACCUCCCUGAACGAAGGUACAGUGUUCCUACAGGCUCUUGGACUUAUACCACCUCUGCCUACCCUAAUGGGAACCCCUAAUUGACAUGUGUGGGAUCCCAUGAGAAAGCCCCGUUCGAGCCAAGUACAGCAGCUGGGCUGGUGGCCCCCACAUGAACUGUAGCCCGACAAAGUGGACUUACCAACGCUAUACAGCUGCAUAUUUAGUCCCGAAUAUAACCAUAGUUAUCCUUAAUGCCUAAUUGUUUUGCAUUUGAAAAUGUUAUUCUGGUUUGAUGCUUAUGCUCUGUGCCUCACCUCAUGGGAAAUGGCACACAGAGUUAAGUGUGCACUACACACUCCCUCCCCCCCCCAACUGGGGGGAGAGGCUACCUAGCCUUACACACUGCGAGCCACUCUUACUUGCACGGAUUCUCCCUCCCCUGCAGCCCCGUUAGGUUAGGGGCAACACAUCAUGAGCGAAUACACACAGACACCGGGCCCAAAUGUCUGAAUGCUAACCCACAUAAUGGCCCAUGUACACCACCACCAGUAUCCCACACCGGAUGCACUAGACAUGAGCACAUAACUCUACAGACACCCGGCUAGCACAACUGCUAUAUCCUCACAGCGAGCACACAAGAUACACGGAUGGUGCACCCCAUCUCAGUUGAUCCAUAAUUGACACACUCAGCGGAACAGCCGACGGACAAACUAGAACAGCUAACACCAAUAUAGAUAUUUAACAACUGAGAGACAGGGACACACCACUCGAGGGAUCGGUUCCGUACAGGCAUCCUCACGGACCACCCUGGUAUGGUGGCUAAUAUAACAUCCAAGGCUCUGUUCAUCAGAUCUAAGCUUAUAGCCACACAUGCCAGGAGACCUAAUUAACAAAUAGAAUUGCAAAUAACAGACGACAUACUUGUUUCUUAUACAUUCAAAAAUGGGGCUGUUGAAUACAGGAGUACCUAUAUUUGAAUAUACUACUGUACCAAUGUCAUGUACAUGCUGAUUGUGGCUCCUUGCUUCUUUUCUGUACCAUGAUAAUCGUUGCCUCAAUAAAAAAGAAUGGGAAAAAAAAAUGCAAAUAUGAAGCCUCCUGUCGUUAUAAGAUUGUAGAUUAUGCUAACGUAGUGUACCUAUACUCUUAAUUUUAGUAAUGACAGGAGGCUAGUAUUUCCCACCCUAUUUUACCCUCCCAUUGUAGCUGUGAUGAUGUAACGUUCUAUAUUUUUCUCUGGUUUAACUUUAUAAGAUAGUUGGGUAUUAUACUUAUAUGACAUUGUAAGAUUAGUGUCUUGUUAUCAUGACAUGCAUAAUAGUUGUUACACAGUUGGAUGUUCAUUAUAUGCGGGCAGCUUGCCACUUCAGAUACCUUUUCACUUUUUUCUUUAUUUUUCAGUGUGAUUGGUUAUCCCCGACGGAUGGACUCACCCUUGUGUUUAUCCAACUGAAGUUCAUACCGGAUUUGGGAGGACAUUAUUGGAUUUCAAUUUGGCCUUACGUUGUUGGUCAUUUUUUUUCUGUAUUAGUCUACCUGUUUUAUUUACUCGCUACAAAGAAAGAAGUGAUGUAACUGUCAGGGCCUUUUAUGUGUCAUCUGGCUUAUUUCUGAUUGGUUGCUUCUGUGUCUGUGCUCCUGGAGAUUUUCAGCAAAGAGAGUUAUGCAAAUACUCGCUGUGACGGACCGCUGGCAUUCCGACUGAGUACCUCUGCCAAUCGAUGCUCCUAGUGCUCGCUGAGGACUCCAAGCACUCCAACCAACACCAUCAGCACUGCAGACCCCACUUCCAGCGAUGCAGCUGCGCCGGGAUCUCUCCGUCUCCACCCACCCUGGCCAGGAUCCAGCUUCCAGUGGGUGAACCUUUCUUUCCCCAGAGAGCGUCGCAGGAACAGAACAGCUCUUACAAGAGCUCAGUGAUUAUAGCAAGAGAGUAUGACCAGCAUAGCAAUCCCUUGUAGCAGAUUCCCCCAAUAAGAGACAGGACUCAGAUUGAAGGUGAAGACGAACUGUUUUACUUGGCACCAAAGACCCACAGGGUCUUUCAGAACAACCAAUAAAAACAUUACAACACAAUAAAGUAUACUACUCCCAGCAGAAAUCCUCCUCUCUGUGAUACAAUUAUCUCAAGACAAUAGACUAACUUGAUUAGCACAGGCAGAAAAUAUACAGUUUUUACACAAUUCUUAUAACUUUAAAAGUAUGCAUGCAAUAUUAAUAAAGUUACAUAUUUGAAAUCAGCAUCCUUCAAAUAUAAAUAUACUCAAAAAUCAUAAACAUUCGUCCAGUAGAUCAAAAGUUAGAUGGACGUCCUUUUUGAAUGACUGCAAGCAUGGCUUUUCUGCCCAAAACCAGUUCCACAGGUCUGGCAGUGUCCCUGGGACAACGCCCUGCUGGAGAACAAUAGACAGGAAACGGGGGAGGGGCACAUCUUCCCAUGUAUUCAAAGGGGCAGAAAAAGUGUUUCAAAAUGCAAUAAGCCCAAAUAAGUUUCUUAAAGGGCAAUACACAGUCCAAUACAAGUCCUUAAGCCCCAAAUCCUGUAUUUAAAGGGCCAAACCUCCCAGGGACCAUAAUCACAUGGCAAGAGGCUGGCAAGUAGUCCUCUCCAGGCACAAGUGGCGAUGUUAAUGUCGCCACACUCGCCUCCUGUCAUUACUAAAAUUAAGAUUAUAGGUAUACUACGUUAGCAUAAUGUACCAUUUUUUUUCAUGUAGUUUGUUCAGUAAUGACUUGAGUUCAAUUCACUAGUAUCCAACCACUGUUUUGCAUAUAAAUGCCAACUAUUUUUCUAUGGCACUUUAAAAUUUGUUAAAAUAUUUUGUUUAAAC